GCCCGCAUGGCUCAGUGGUAGAGCGUGUCACUAGUAUUUACAAAUUUCUAUGACAAGGUCGUCAGUUCGAUUCUGGCUGUGGGCA